CCCGCCGGCCCGCCCGCUCGGCCCUCGCGCGGCUCUCCUCGCUUCUCCUCCCUUCUCCCCGGCGCUGCUCCCGCCGCGGCGCUCCCGUGGGCACCCGGCCGGCCGGCCGCGUUGGCCGGGGCCGCGUGAGGCGAACCACACGCCGUAGUCCCGACCCUCCCUGCAGGGAGCGUCCGCGUGCCAAGAGUCGCUCCUGGCAAGGCUCUCUGCACGCCCCGGUUUCACUUAGUCUCCACAGAGACUCUGAGGAGAUGCUCGGCAGAUGGCAGUUUUUAGUUUUUAAGUAGCAAACAGGGCAUUCCGACCCCCCUGAGAGUUGGCUCUCAUUUUCCUCCCAUUUUUUGUUCGCUCCGCUGAGGAAGGGAGCGUUUACUGAGCAUUUGCUAUGGAGCUCAGGCUGGCCUGGAACUCACAGUUGUAACUCGGGUUGGCCUUUUGUUUAGCCUGCUGCUUCAGCCUCCCAAGUGUUAUGACUACAGUGCACGCCACUGGGACCAGCACUAAGGACAGACAGUGUGAGGCCAACUGGGCUGCUACCCGUGCCACAGAAGUGUAGCGCCCGGGGACCGAAACAAACUGAGAUCCACCUGCCUCCACUAACAAGUGUUGGGAUUAAAGGAGUCCGCAGGGCUGAACAGGGUGGAGAGCUGCAUAACCCUGGCUGUCCUGGAACAAACUUCAUAGACCAGAUCAGACAGGCCUCGAACUCACAGAGAUCCAUCCGCCUCCGACUCCAGAGUGCUGGCGUUAAAGCCAUCCUGUCCUGUGUGACAAGACACGGUCCAAGCUGUUACCUGUAGCACGAAUUCUAAUUGUUCUUAAUAAUGAAAACUCCGAGUCAGCUAUCAGUGAAAGCUGAAGAAUCAGAAAAGCAGAGUGGCCAGUCAUUAGAGUUCUUACCUCUACCAAUGAUCCUGUCCUCUGCAUCCUCAGAUUGACUGCUCAGAAUGCACUGAGCUCCUGUCUCCUCCUGCCUUAUAUUCCUCUCUCCACCCAGCUACAUGGCUCCUGUCUCCACAUCCCUAGUGCGGGAAUUACAGGCAUGUGAUCCCAAGUGCUAGGAUCACCUUUGUAGAGUAGUUUAUAAAGAACAGCCCUUUGUCACAGUUGACCACUGAGAUCUUCAAGAUCAAGACACUGGCUGUUCAGAAGACUGGUUGUUGUGUAACAGUUUCCUCCAAGAUUAAAAUAGUCUAUCCUGCAGGAAGCUCCUUAAGCUGGAAGGAGAGCAGACCAGCUACCUGGAAGCAGCAGAAACUAGCCAUCCUGCCUGGAAGAAAUUUAGACCAACUGAGGCAGCUGGAGGGACUCUCUUUAAACUGUUGCCUUGCCUGUAGACUGCAGUGUGCUCCAGGUUCCCAGCUUUGUGAGCUGUCACCAAUGCUGGGUUGGGCCUUGGUGAUGCAGCUGUCUUUGGGUCAUUUCUGUUCUGUAUUCCUAUAAGUAACUUCAAUAAAACUUAAUGGUUCGUCAAGUUGGACUUUGGUAUCCAUACUUUGGUGUGCCGUGGCUCCAUAUCUUGGGUGUGUAGACCUGUGUGUUCCGUGGUCCCAGGAAAGUUUUGUUAUACAACACUGGUAAGGGUCCACUUUCUGGUCCAUAGGCAUCCAUGUUCUUUCCCAUGGUAGGAGGAACAGGACGGUACUUUGGGGCCUCUAAAUAAG
rnacentral:lncRNA from 1 species